rnacentral:lncRNA from 1 species
AAAAUACACUAACAAGGACUUCUAUACACAAAGAAAGAUGCAAAAUUAGUGUUAUCAAGGGUGCUAAUACCUUGCCUAUGCAUAACCGACUCCUGAACUCAAAAAUUUGAUUUCGUAGACCAAACCCAAAUGUGGCAAGGGCCUUUGAUAGCUAGAUGGCAUCACCAAACGGCGUCACCAAAAACUUAAUAACUACCUCUAACCACCCCUAAUUUAUCGUAAACUGCC